rnacentral:lncRNA from 10 species
GGAAGUCAAAGGGGAAACAACAAUUCACAGGAAAGAGUACAAAGGCAUCACAAAAAAAUAAAACUGAUUUCAUAAACACGGUGAUUCUGGUUCUUCAAAGACAUUUCCAAGAAAAGUUGCUAAGGAAGGUGAAUCUAAAGCCACAUCUAAGAACUUUGAGAAAAGUGUCACAAAACCAGGGGAAAGGGUGCGAAGCAGUUGAAGAAUAAGCAACAAUGGGACAAAGCACCAAGGAACAAAUUCCAGCCAGCAAAUAAAUUCAACAAGAAGAGGAAACUCCAGCCAGAUGGCAAAAGUGGUGAAUCAGCAGCCAAGAAACCCAAAUGGGAUGACUUCAAAAAGAAAAAGAAAGAACUGAAGCAAAGCAGGCAACUCAGUGAUAAAAGUAACUAUGACACUGUUGUGUGGGCAAAGCAGAUUUGGAAGACUUUAAGAAGAAAAGACUGACAAAGAAAAAAGAGUAAAGUUAAUGAAUGACUUGCAGAAGUUGAUUCAAGGGAAAAUAAACAAUUGCAUUUGCAAAUGAUUCAACUCAUGUGAUCCAGUGUUACAUUCAGUGUGGUAAUGAAGAACAGUCAAAACAGGCUUUUGAAGAAUUGGGAGAUAAUUUGGUUGAAUUAAGUAAAGCCAAAUACUCCAGAAAUAUUUUAAAGAAAAGAAAUGUCGCAUGUAUGGAAGUCAACCACAGAUUGCAGAGAUAAUGAGAAGUUUAAAAGGCCCCGUGAGGAAGAUGCUGUGGCAGGCAGAAACAUCAGCCAUCAUGUAGGACACAUAUAAUGACAAAGCCACUUUGGAGCAGAGGAACAUGCUGACGAAAGAGUUCUAUGGGAACACAUUUCACCUUUACAAGUCAGUCGAUCACCAACUCCAGACAAAGUAUUAGGGGUACAGCCAGAAAAAUUAAGAGCUUAUUAUGGAUGAAAUGAAACAGAUUCUAACUCCAGUGGCCCAAAAGGAAGCUGUGAUUAAGCAUUCAUUGGUGCAUAUUCUUGGACUUUUUUUUUCUUUUUUUUUCACCUAUGCACCCCCCAAACUCAGAUCAGAAAUGAUUGAAGUCAUCCACAAAGCAGUGGUAUACCUGGCACACACACACACGAGGGCAUGGCUGGCCAUGGGCCUGUGGCAUGGCAUGCCCAAGGACAGGAAAGUGACUGUGAAAAUAAUGAAGACUUAGGUUGAAAAAGUGACUGAUGGCCAAUACUCUCAUUUGGCUUUCCUGGCAGCAUUUGAUUGUAUUGAUGAUACUAAGCUUGUGAAGCAGGUAAUAAUCAUAUCAGGAAUUAUCAGUUCAUUGCCUAGCACAGGAAAUGACAAACAUGAAAGGAAGGUCCUGUUGUAUUCACUAAGCCCCAGAGAUCCUGUAUAUCUACUAUGAGAAAUCAUUGAAGUUCUGCAAAAAGGAGAUGGAAAUGCACACAGUAAUAAAGGUACAGAAAUCUGCAGAUAUGAGCUCCUAGAAUCCAUUUCUCUAGCUUUGUUAAGCUUCCUGCAAGGACAUGCCCAAGAGGUGGUGCUAGAUAAGUCCGCGUGUGUUGGUAUCUGACAUUCUGGGAUCUGCCACUGGAGAUGUUCAGCCCGCCAUGAAUGCCAUUGCCAGCUUGGCAGCAGUGGAACUGCAACCUAGUGGCAAGGACCGAGAGCUUCACAUUGCAGAACAUCCUCCAGGACAUCUAGUUCUGAAGUGGUUAAUAGAGCAAGAUAAAAAGAUGAAAUAAAAUGGGAGAGAAGGUUGUUUUGCAAAAUCAUUUGUACAGCAUGUUGGUAUGAGGAACCUGAAGUCCUGGGCUAGUGUAAAUCGAGGUGCCAUUAUUCUUUCUAGCCUCCUCCAGGUUGUGAUCAAGAAGUUGCAAACAAACUCAAAGAUGGACUGAAAAGCUUGAUUGCUACAUUGGGAAAAAAACAAAGGCACCGUCAAAGGAAUAGAAACUCUACUUGAAAAAUUGGGCUCA